rnacentral:rRNA from 1 species
GGGUUGUGAGGUUAAGCGACUAAGCGUACACGGUGGAUGCCCUGGCAGUCAGAGGCGAUGAAGGGCGUGCUAAUCUGCGAUAAGCGCCGGUAAGGUGAUAUGAACCGUUAUAACCGGCGAUACCCGAAUGGGGAAACCCAGUGUGACUCGUCACACUAUCAUUAACUGAAUCCAUAGGUUAAUGAGGCGAACCGGGGGAACUGAAACAUCUAAGUACCCCGAGGAAAAGAAAUCAACCGAGAUUCCCCCAGUAGCGGCGAGCGAACGGGGAGGAGCCCAGAGCCUGAAUCAGCAUGUGUGUUAGUGGAAGCGUCUGGAAAGGCGCGCGAUACAGGGUGACAGCCCCGUACACAAAAGCGCAUGUGUUGUGAGCUCGAUGAGUAGGGCGGGACACGUGGUAUCCUGUCUGAAUAUGGGGGGACCAUCCUCCAAGGCUAAAUACUCCUGACUGACCGAUAGUGAACCAGUACCGUGAGGGAAAGGCGAAAAGAACCCCGGCGAGGGGAGUGAAAAAGAACCUGAAACCGUGUACGUACAAGCAGUGGGAGCCCCACCACUAAGCCAGUGGUGAACUCCACAUACGCAUCCUUUGCUGAGGAUACGGUUAACGGAGCGAAAGCGACGUUCAACCUCAAAAGAAGCAGAGGGGGCUUAGUGGUGGGGUGACUGCGUACCUUUUGUAUAAUGGGUCAGCGACUUAUAUUCUGUAGCAAGGUUAACCGCAUAGGGGAGCCGGAGGGAAACCGAGUCUUAACCGGGCGUUAAGUUGCAGGGUAUAGACCCGAAACCCGGUGAUCUAGCCAUGGGCAGGUUGAAGGUUGGGUAACACUAACUGGAGGACCGAACCGACUAAUGUUGAAAAAUUAGCGGAUGACCUGUGGCUGGGGGUGAAAGGCCAAUCAAACCGGGAGAUAGCUGGUUCUCCCCGAAAGCUAUUUAGGUAGCGCCUCGUGAAUUCAUCUCCGGGGGUAGAGCACUGUUUCGGCUAGGGGGCCAUCCCGGCUUACCAACCCGAUGCAAACUGCGAAUACCGGAGAAUGUUAUCACGGGAGACACACGGCGGGUGCUAACGUCCGUCGUGAAGAGGGAAACAACCCAGACCGCCAGCUAAGGUCCCAAAGUCAUGGUUAAGUGGGAAACGAUGUGGGAAGGCCCAGACAGCCAGGAUGUUGGCUUAGAAGCAGCCAUCAUUUAAAGAAAGCGUAAUAGCUCACUGGUCGAGUCGGCCUGCGCGGAAGAUGUAACGGGGCUAAACCAUGCACCGAAGCUGCGGCAGCGACACUGUGUGUUGUUGGGUAGGGGAGCGUUCUGUAAGCCUGUGAAGGUGUGUCGUGAGGCAUGCUGGAGGUAUCAGAAGUGCGAAUGCUGACAUAAGUAACGAUAAAGCGGGUGAAAAGCCCGCUCGCCGGAAGACCAAGGGUUCCUGUCCAACGUUAAUCGGGGCAGGGUGAGUCGACCCCUAAGGCGAGGCCGAAAGGCGUAGUCGAUGGGAAACGGGUUAAUAUUCCCGUACUUGGUGUUACUGCGAAGGGGGGACGGAGAAGGCUAUGUUGGCCGGGCGACGGUUGUCCCGGUUUAAGCGUGUAGGUGUGUGUUCCAGGUAAAUCCGGUUCACUUUAACACUGAGGCGUGAUGACGAGGCACUACGGUGCUGAAGUAACAAAUGCCCUGCUUCCAGGAAAAGCCUCUAAGCAUCAGGUAACAUCAAAUCGUACCCCAAACCGACACAGGUGGUCAGGUAGAGAAUACCAAGGCGCUUGAGAGAACUCGGGUGAAGGAACUAGGCAAAAUGGUGCCGUAACUUCGGGAGAAGGCACGCUGACACGUAGGUGAAGUGAUUUACUCACGGAGCUGAAGUCAGUCGAAGAUACCAGCUGGCUGCAACUGUUUAUUAAAAACACAGCACUGUGCAAACACGAAAGUGGACGUAUACGGUGUGACGCCUGCCCGGUGCCGGAAGGUUAAUUGAUGGGGUCAGCGCAAGCGAAGCUCCUGAUCGAAGCCCCGGUAAACGGCGGCCGUAACUAUAACGGUCCUAAGGUAGCGAAAUUCCUUGUCGGGUAAGUUCCGACCUGCACGAAUGGCGUAAUGAUGGCCAGGCUGUCUCCACCCGAGACUCAGUGAAAUUGAACUCGCUGUGAAGAUGCAGUGUACCCGCGGCAAGACGGAAAGACCCCGUGAACCUUUACUAUAGCUUGACACUGAACAUUGAGCCUUGAUGUGUAGGAUAGGUGGGAGGCUUUGAAGUGUGGACGCCAGUCUGCAUGGAGCCGACCUUGAAAUACCACCCUUUAAUGUUUGAUGUUCUAACGUGGACCCGUGAUCCGGGUUGCGGACAGUGUCUGGUGGGUAGUUUGACUGGGGCGGUCUCCUCCUAAAGAGUAACGGAGGAGCACGAAGGUUGGCUAAUCCUGGUCGGACAUCAGGAGGUUAGUGCAAUGGCAUAAGCCAGCUUGACUGCGAGCGUGACGGCGCGAGCAGGUGCGAAAGCAGGUCAUAGUGAUCCGGUGGUUCUGAAUGGAAGGGCCAUCGCUCAACGGAUAAAAGGUACUCCGGGGAUAACAGGCUGAUACCGCCCAAGAGUUCAUAUCGACGGCGGUGUUUGGCACCUCGAUGUCGGCUCAUCACAUCCUGGGGCUGAAGUAGGUCCCAAGGGUAUGGCUGUUCGCCAUUUAAAGUGGUACGCGAGCUGGGUUUAGAACGUCGUGAGACAGUUCGGUCCCUAUCUGCCGUGGGCGCUGGAGAACUGAGGGGGGCUGCUCCUAGUACGAGAGGACCGGAGUGGACGCAUCACUGGUGUUCGGGUUGUCAUGCCAAUGGCACUGCCCGGUAGCUAAAUGCGGAAGAGAUAAGUGCUGAAAGCAUCUAAGCACGAAACUUGCCCCGAGAUGAGUUCUCCCUGAGACUUUAGGUCUCCUGAAGGAACGUUGAAGACGACGACGUUGAUAGGCCGGGUGUGUAAGCGCAGCGAUGCGUUGAGCUAACCGGUACUAAUGAACCGUGAGGCUUAACCUUACAACGCCGAAG